GACGAACGCUGGCGGCGUGCCUAAUACAUGCAAGUUGAGCGCUGAAGGUUGGUACUUGUACCAACUGGAUGAGCAGCGAACGGGUGAGUAACGCGUGGGGAAUCUGCCUUUGAGCGGGGGACAACAUUUGGAAACGAAUGCUAAUACCGCAUAAAAACUUUAAACACAAGUUUUAAGUUUGAAAGAUGCAAUUGCAUCACUCAAAGAUGAUCCCGCGUUGUAUUAGCUAGUUGGUGAGGUAAAGGCUCACAAAGGCGAUGAUACAUAGCCGACCUGAGAGGGUGUUCAGACACAUUGAGACUGAGACACGACGCAAACUCCUACGAGAGGCAGCAGUAGGGAAUCUUCGGCAAUGGAUGAAAAUCUGACCGAGCAACGUCGCGAGAGUGAAGAAGUUUUUCAGGUCGUAAAACUCUGUUGGUAGAGAAGAACGUUGGUGAAAGUGGAAAGCUCAUCAAGUGACGGUAACUACCCAGAAAGGGACGGCUAACUACGUG
rnacentral:rRNA from 1 species